AUUGAACGCUGGCGGCAGGCUUAACACAUGCAAGUCGAGCGGGGUGAUGGUGCUUGCACUAUCACUUAGCGGCGGACGGGUGAGUAAUGCUUAGGAAUCUGCCUAUUAGUGGGGGACAACAUCUCGAAAGGGAUGCUAAUACCGCAUACGUCCUACGGGAGAAAGCAGGGGAUCACUUGUGACCUUGCGCUAAUAGAUGAGCCUAAGUCGGACUAGCUAGUUGGUGGGGUAAAGGCCUACCAAGGCGACGAUCUGUAGCGGGUCUGAGAGGAAGAUCCGCCACACUGGGACUGAGACAAGCCCCCGACUCCUACGGGAGGGAGCAGUGGGGCAUAUUGGCCAAUGGCGGGAACCCUGGUCCAGCCAUGCCGCGUGUGUGAAGAAGGCCUUUUGGUUGUAAAGCACUUUAAGCGAGGAGGAGGCUCUUUUGGUUAAUACCCAAGAUGAGUGGACGUUACUCGCAGAAUAAGCACCGGCUAACUCUGUGCCAGCCGCCGCCGUAA
rnacentral:rRNA from 1 species